rnacentral:lncRNA from 1 species
GAAUCGAUCAGGAGAUGCCGGCAAAAGAAGUUGCUGAAAGCCAGGCUGGUGUGGCCGGGAGCUGCGUGCUGCUGGCUCUGCUGUGCACCGGGAGCAGCUGAACUUUGCGGGUUUUGAAUAUACAUUUUCCUCUGCGGACGCUUCGGGCAGAGUUACGGGGAGAGUCACGGCACGGCACCACAGACCUUGCGCCUGCUGUUACCCAGACCAUGUCCGGGGGACGGCAAAGGGGGGAUUUCUGUCUCUCCGAGGACCAUCACCAGUGAAAAGAAGCUGGAGAAAGGCAAUUUAUCUUUCUUUCCAGAUGACUGAAAAUACCUACAGGAUCCUGUUUCUUCAGCUUUCAUCAACGAGUAGCAUCGGAGAGAGGCAGCUGAGGAACAAAAAUGUUAUCGGUCAAAAUCAUUUCAGCAUCUACUUUUUCCCAAGGAACUUCAUGCCCGUAGGGGUUUGCUGUGGGCAUUUACAGAAGUGAGGACUGACAUACCACAGAUGCAUCCCUACCGGAUCAUGUAAGAAUUUGCAAAUGAGAAACCUACCCCAGCGAGACCUUCUCUGCCCAGUUUGCCGUGCAUGGUUUGGUGUAGGUACGGCAAUUCUCACCUCUUUCUCCCCCUUUUAAAUCUCUUGGGCUUGGAGAUCUCUUUCCUCAUUGCAAUUAUGAUUAUUUGCAACAUCAGUGCCAUCAAAGAUUGGAGCACUUUCCUCUCCCAGAUCCUUCCCAGCGUUAACAAGACUCUGAACUUGGUACAGCAAGUGGAAGCCACCACCAGCUCAGUGGUAAGUGUCCUCCAGGACCCCGAGCAGGACAACUACCUGUCCAACAGCCAGUCCAUGAACUCCAGCAACUUCACAGCUGGCCUAGACCACUUGUUCCAGUACUCAUACUCAGACAAUGACCAGCUUUACAAGGAAUACAAACCGCCUCCUCGAGACGCCAUUCCUCUACCCAAGGCCGUCCUCUACCUUCUCAUGGCAGCCCUGGUGGUGGUGGCAGUGGCAUAUGCCAUAGUGGGGCAUCUCAUCAAGGACCUCAUUCACGACUUUAUAGACUGGAUCUUCGGUCCCAGCCCAGAUGACAACAGCAACAAGAGCGACGUCAACUGCAUCAGCAACAGCGUCAAUGAGAUGAGUGAGAUGCCUGAGGCACCGCGGCACCGGGACCGCCAACCCCAGGACGUGGUCAUUGCCAUCGGCGAGACCUGCCACUUGCCGCAGCAGACGUGACCGGUGCAGUGGCCGAGUCAGGCAGGAUGGAACAGAGGGAUGGAGCGGAGUGUUGGAGCAGCGGGAUGGUGCAGCAGGACAGCGCAGCAGCCACAUUGCAGGACUGGAUGGCGAGAGGAAGGGAUGGGCAGAGCCAGCACCAUGGAGCAAAGCCAUUCUCACCCCGGUUUUGCCAACCUCUAAGGACCUUGCCAGGGCAGGCAGCAUCACCCCUUCUCCCAGGCUUGUCAGUCCUGCUCUGACAUCUGUCCGUGGGUUCAUGCCCUUUUUUCCCUGUGAAUAGCAAAAAAAAAAUUGCAAAUUCAAAAUACACCCACCAAACAAAGCUCGCAAGAGAAAUGAGCCAGAGAGGAUCUGGGCAGUCAUUUGGUGUGUGGCUGUCCCGCAGCAUGGGGAUGGGGUGGUGAAAAGGGCAAAGGAGACAAGGAGUCUGCAUGAGAAACAGGGGUGUCUACAUUUCUGGGGACAGACCCAGGACGUGGCAGGGAGCUGGGGCUACAGCAUGAGCCAUGGGCUGCAGAAAGGCACUUGAAAGGACAGUAGGAGCCAAAUUCAGCCCGCUACAUUGAUGACCUGCCCAGGCCAUCACUCCUCCCUUUAGUUUUGCUGCUCCAGCUCACAGCCCAUUUCAGCAGGUAUGUCCUGUGGCUCUGGGACAGCAGGGUGACAGCCUCACCUCCCCAGGGAGCCUUCGUCCCCAUGCCCAUGGCCAGGCCAGGGCACCACCUUCCCUCUGCCACCAGCUCUGGUUGAGCCCAGCAUCCCCUGACUGGGAGCAGCCCUGCUGGGACAUGGCAUGCCCCUGUUCUCUGAGGAAAGUUGCUGGAGGGGAGGGCAAGGACCCACCUGCAGGAAACUUUAGCUCUUCAUGGGGGAAAAUAGCCCCUGUAUAGCUGCAUCUCUCAGAUUUGUCCCCAUAUAGCCAUUCCCCUCCUCACCCCUACGUUAGCUGCCACCAUGAGGGGUGCUGGCCCUGCACUGGGGUCAGCCACAUGUGCAU